rnacentral:rRNA from 1 species
GAUGAACGCUGGCGGCGUGCCUAAUACAUGCAAGUCGAGCGAACGGACGAGAAGCUUGCUUUUCUGAUGUUAGCGGCGGGCGGGUGAGUAACACGUGGAUACCCUACCUAUAAGACUGGGAUAACUUAGGGAAACCGGAGCUCAUACAGGAUAAUAUUUUGAACCGCAUGGUUCAAAAGUGAAAGACGGUCUUGCUGUCACUUAUAGAUGGAUCCGCGCUGCAUUAGCUAGUUGGUAAGGUAACGGCUUACCAAGGCAACGAUGCAUAGCCGAUCUGAGAGGGUGAUCAGCCACACUGGAACUGAGACACGGUCCAGACUCCUACGGGAGGCAGCAGUAGGGAAUCUUCCGCAAUGGGCGAAAGCCUGACGGAGCAACGCCGCGUGAGUGAUGAAGGUCUUCGGAUCGUAAAACUCUGUUAGUAGGGAAGAACAUAUGUGUAAGUAACUCUGCACGUCUUGACGUUACCUAAUCAGAAAGCCACGGCUAACUACGUG